rnacentral:lncRNA from 1 species
CUACAUUUAAGGAUGAGAUCCAUAAUUUUAGGCAAUUGCAUUCUGAAUCAAUGUAUGAGGCAUGGUUUUUAUUUAAGAAGAAGUUAAUGAUGGUGCCUAAUCAUAGAAUUAUUUGUCCAAUUAUGUCAAAUUUUGUUAGUGUGAAUGACGCCAAAUCUAUGCACCCAAGGUGUCACAAGUAUGUUCCUAACUCUCUUAUUUUGUAGAGGCCUAAUGCAAUAGGAACAAUACAUGACUAUUUGUUGGGGGUGGGGCUACUUAUGGGUCUAGAUAUUAUUUUGGAGUUUUUGUUGUUGUGCCUCUUUUCCUUGGAGUGUGGUAUUAUUAGAGCUGGCAUGUUUAGGAUGUAUAGUAUUUUUUUCUUAAUGUUUUGUGUUGUAUUUAUUUAACUAGGAGAAAAAAAUAAGCACCUAAGGCAGUUAUGAUGCAUUUUGACUGUGCUUAAAUAGUUUUAGAAAAAAAUGAUACCCCUUCAAAAAAUAUAUAUUGAACUGUGUGAGGUGGAUAUAUAUAUGUGACCACUGUGAAUCUCUCUAUGGCAUUAGAAUUAGGGAUAUAAUAAUCAUAGCUAGUAUUUUCAUGAACCGUAUAAGUAGUAGUUUGUGAUAUAAUCAUGUUCCAUGUGUGUCUGAGAUGACUACUUUGUUCCCAUUAUGUGUUAAAUCCAGAACUUACUCGAUUAGUCUUGCCCAGGUUGUAGGAUCAUCGCUUAGGAAAUGAUCAUAGGUCAUUCUUAAAAUCAAUGCAAUUUUAUCCUAAAUAACCUUCCAAAUAUCAAUAAGUAUCCCUUGAUCCUUAUUUUGAGCCUAUAUAGACUAUUUUUCUUGUUUCACCUGUUACCUCUCCAUUUUAGUAAAAAUGAACCUGUUUUAGCUCUAGUCGUCCAUGGACAUUGUACCUCUUAACUCAGGAAAAUCGACUAAGUUUUGGGUGGGUAUCAUAGGGGUGAAUGAAUUGAAGUGGGUAUGAAGAAGGGUGUAAAAAGGAGAAAGAAGACCGUAGGGUUGGGUGUGGUAGAAAAAAGAAAAAAAGAGAAAAAAAAAGAAAAAGAAAAAUAAAAAAAAGGAUAUAAGAAAUCGGCACCCAACUUUAAUGGCAAAUAAGAGAAUAAAAAGGGAGAAAUAAGGAUGGAAAAAAAGAAAAUUGGUUUAUAAGUGGACCUAUAACGUAAUUGUAGUACUGAGGAGGCUUACUCACUAAAUUUGAAAAUGUACCAUACCAGCCCUAAGCCUACAUUACAAGCCAAGUAUAGUCCUAUAGUGAUCCAAACCUGAUUUUCUGAAAGCUAAGGUAAAGAAAAUAAGGGAAGGCCUAUGGUAUUCUAUAUAGAUUGUGAAACUUCUUUGUGAGUGUGAGUGUCUCGUGGUCAUCCCUGCAUUAACAUGCAUGAUUUUAUUAAGUGGGUGGGACAUCUUUAUUGUGAGGCUACAUAGAUUUUGUUGAUAACUGCUUGUCUGCUCGGGUAGUGUAAGUUGUAUAUAUGCCUGAUUAUGUGUUGCUAAUGUAAGGACAUAGCUUGAUUCCAUUGGGUCACAUUGUUGGGCUGCAUUGAUUCACACAGUUGGUUUUGAAAAGUUAAAAUAGGAGGGGGUGAUGUUUUUAGAUGAAUUUGAGAUUGACUGCCACAGGUAUCUUAGGUUUGUCUUGGUUAAGUUUCAUUGUUAUGUUUCGCUGUGUUUUUGUUUCUUGAAGGAAUGAAAAUGUUCUAAGUUAAAGGUGUUGACGUUCCAUGAUUUCAUGGCACUAUCAGUGCUUAAAACAAGAAAUAUGCAAGUACUUAGGCUUGUUUGGGUAGAUAUGAUGUAUUUUGUGUUGUGUUUUGUAGAAAAGUAGCUUUUGGAGAUUAACAUGGAGAAAAUGAGUCAAAAUCUAUAGAAAAGCCCAUAUACGAGGCUACCUAUGUAGCAUAGGUAGCACUUACCUGGAGUUGAUAGCCUGGUAGGUGUUAGAGUGUCAGACUUUAGAGAAACAGAAGUUGAAUAAUUUAGACUUCUACCUACGAAGGUGUCACCUAUGACCCGUAGGUACCACCUACAGUGCCGUAGGUAUCAGUAUAGGUUUCUGAACUUGAAUUUCAGAGAAACUGAAGAUGGUAGGAAUUUCUGCUACAUACGAUGGGUCACCCUGAAGUAAGAACCACCUACGAUGGUUGAUCCAAAGUUUUCCAGUUUAUUUUGGUUUAGAUUUUUAGGGGUUUUAUGUAAUAUAUAAAUACUCUUUUAAAUUUUUCAGCCAAUUUUAUGUAACUUUACGCACUCUUACCAUUCAAAAACAUAUAUUUGAUUCUAUGAUUGACUUUUGAUCUUGGAAUCUUCUUAUUCUUAGUUUUUGGUUGAUCAAUUGAUUUGAGAUUUUGGGUUUUAAUCUUCAUUAUUGUAAGAUUACUUCUAUGUUUUUUAUAUUGAAUUCCAUGGAUUGUUUUGCAACUAUGAGCGGCUGAUUCCCUUAGCUAGGGUUGAGGGAACCUGGCAGAAUAAUGAAGUAGGAAAAGUGUGAGGUUCUUCUAGAUCACUAUUUACACUUGCAUUAUGAAUACGACGCAGCUGCAGACCAUAGGUCCAAAUCCUGCAGCCUAGCUCUCGGGUUUUCGACCUCUGGCACCUAUUUUUUCCAUCCACGAUUUAUAGGUCCUACAUGUAGUCCAUAGGUUACCUUUGUAGGUGUUUGGAGUCAUCUUUUCAGCUUUUUUUCACUUCUCGAACAUGCUUUGAUCAUGAACAAGCUGGAAAACAUCCCCAAUAUCCAUAAUUGCUCCAAAAGUGGCUAAAAAAUCUUUUUCACCUACUUAUCAUUCAAUACAUGAUUUCUUGCAAAACAUACCCAAAAUAGAUAAUACCUAACAAAAUAGCCUCAGAAACUUUCAUAUCACAAAGUGGCCUUGCAUACCAUAAAAUAGCCUCAAAACAUACCAUAAAGUGACCUAGCCUCGACAUCAACCUACGCUCCACACCUGUGUCCAGGCAGUGGUGCAGGUACCACCCGCAGCCUGUAGAUGUUGGGUACAAGUGCCAGGCCAAAAUUUUUGGCCCACUUUUCUAUAACCCGAACUCGGCAUUUCGAUAAUUUUCCAGAUACUUAUUGUCUCACAACCUAAGUUUUAGGUCCCAAAAGUAAAAUUAAAUGCCAGAGUCUGUAACUUACCAUUUUUCAUCCUCUAAAUUUCAACCUUUUGACUUAUUAUUCAACUUAUCGUGUGGGACUUAUGAUUAUGAUAGGGUGUCACAUAGUUCCCUUAUCUGGAAAUUGAUGAAUGUAGUAAUUUUUGUCGUAUUUCGGGUAAGGUCCAAAAGCUAAAAUCCUACAAAAAGGUAAAAACAAUAAAAACAUGAACACUAAAAUAGUGAGUUUCCUCUCACUCAGCGCUUUAUUUAACGUCGCGGCACGACACGGGUAUCUUAAUUACUUAAAAUUCAUCAAGAUACCCAUAGGAGUAUCCUCCAGGGUUACCAAUAUAAUUAAUCAUGGACACUACCCUCAUGUUGUUUGUUUGUUUCAUUGACUUUUGGAUAUUAAAUGUCGCCUCCUUACUGAUGACUCUGAAUAUGUUAACCAUAGCUCUGCCUGUAGCCAUAAAUAGUCUUUCCAAUAUAAUGGACAUUUCGGUGUCAACCUCACAGUCCAGUAUGACAAAAUCAGCCAGAAAAAUAAAGUUAUCCACCCUCACGGUCAUAUCAAACGUGAUUCCCACAGGCUUUUUCAAUGUGUAUUCAAUCAUCUACAGCUGCAUUAAAGUCAAUUUUAGAGGCUUUAAUCUUAAUUACUUGAAUACAGAUAGUGGCAUCAAAUUAAUGCUGGAUCCAAAAUAACACAAGGCUCGGGCAAAUUAGGAUGACCUAAUAGUGCACGAUAUAGUGAAUGCUCAGGGAUCACCCUUUUUCUGGGUCAAGGACAUAGUUGUGAUGGCACUGCAAUAGUGAACACAAUCAACACCCUUAAAUGCCACUUAUUUCUUUCUUAUGACUAACUAUUUCAUGAACCUGGCGUAUCCAGGCAUAUGCUCUAAUGCCUAUUGGAGAGGUAUGUUCAAGCUCAAUUUUUUCAGCAUAUUAAAGAAUUGUUUGAACUUACCUUCCUCUUUCUUUUGCCUCAAUUAUUGAGGAAAAAGUGGGGCUAGUCUCAAAAUCUGUUUGAUUUCUGAAUUAGUGAUGGAACCCAUACCUUUAUCUUCAGCAGCUAUACCUUCAUCAAUUGUUACCUUCUCAGACUUAAUAGCAAGUGUCUCAUUAUCAAUAUCUUCUGCAGUAGGUCGUGGGGGAUCCAUAGUAGUGAUACCAAUCCUUAUGGUAAUAGAAAGUACGUGACCAUCAUUUUUAUGAUUUUGCAUCGUGUUACUCAAAAGGGUACCUGGCAGUCUCUGGUUCAGAACUCCUGACAUCUACCCAAAAAGGUGUUUUAACUUCUUGAUGGUAGUGUAUAUGACUCAAACUUGUGGGUCAAUCGAAAUGUCAGCCAUAAUCUCCUUAAGGCUGAUCUCUUGAUUUUUCUGACCCAUUAUGGAUUCUGCAUAUCAUCUACCAGAUGGAAUAUAUCUAUCUCCCUUCUCUCUGUAGUCAUUCUUCUUCCUUCAGUCACCAUCUCACUCUCUGCUAUGAUAUCUAUAUCUGUCAUAGUAGUUUCAACCUUGAUACCCUUUCCCUUGGGCUGGAAAACCCGCCAUCUGACCAUCCAGACAAUUUGCUUCCCCUUCAUAUUCUGACUUGUAUUCUUUAGAAGAUGACCCCUAUGUUGUUGCUACAUUAACUUUCUCAAAAUUUGUUUCUGCUAGAUAGUUUGCUGGUACCCCCAAAAUCAGUCCUUAGUAAUGCAAUAUCUUGUACUAAUAUAUCAUCAACUGAUCCCUGGUUGCAAGAGGCUCCAUUAGUAUAUGUACCAAAUCCCCUCUAAGCCUCUCACAUUUGAUACCCUUGGUUAUUAAGUCAAAUCCGAUCUAACAUCUCCGGAGAUGCCUCCUAGUGUAGUCUCAUAAAAUUUCUUCUAGAAAUGGUGUUUGUCAUGUCUCUAGAGCUAAUGGCCAGGGCUCUAUAGAAUAUCCCUAAUGAGCUCAUCCCUGACAACUAAUAAUUGGGAACCAUGCUUAUCUUUUUCUUGAACCUAAACUAAGCCUCAUACAUAGACUCUGACUGCAGCUACCUAAAGUUAUAGAUCUUUUCCUUGAGCUAGAACAUCCUAGAUAGAGGAACGAACCUAUACAAGAAUUGCUUGCACAACUUGUUCCAUAUAGUGAUAAAGCCUCUUGGCAGUUCCACUAAUCAUAAAGAUACUUCUCUUGUAAGUGAGAAGAGGAACAACCUCAAUCUAAGUAUUUCUUGCUUCACCCCUGGUUUACUAUACAAACUACAGAACCUAGGGAAAUUUUCCAUGUGAAAAUUUGCAUUAUCUGUAAGCAGACUUGCAAACACACCUUCAGAUUUAGAAUUUGGAUCAUUGCAUUCAUGAUGUCGAAAUUAAUUCCUAGGGGGAAAACAGGAGGAACUAUGCUCCAGUCUCUAUCAUCUCAAUCUAUCCUAAGUGUUCUUUAUCAUUUAUACAUGGUUGCACAUACUGAUACGAUGGCAUAACUUGAACACGGGCACCUCUAGCUAUGUUCUGGUUUCCUUCAAGUGUUGUCAGCAGUUUGCUACUAGUGUCUGCUCAACUAGCUCUACCACCCUAGCUAUAUGCUAAUCUUCUUCAGUUUCCCUCCUCUCGUUCUCUGCUUGAUCGAAAAGUUGAUUGGUUUAUCGAUGAGCUAUAUCUUUUACUCCUUCAAGAGGAGGGGGGUAGAUCAUCACGAACCCAUUCAGGAGGUUCAUCUCUUUUCUUCUCAAAUAUCUUACUAGGUGUUUUUAGGAUCUUCUCUGAAUUCAAAUUCACUGGGAGUAAGGGAUCGCCUCAACCCGUGCUAGGCAUACACAAAUAUAUGCCCAACUAUGAAUAAGAAAAAAAAGAAAAAACCCAAAAACUGCAAAAACUUUUGAUUACAACUCAACAUCGUGUUCCCCAACAACAAUGCCAAAUUUUUUAUUGACAUCCAAAAAACACCUCCUAUUAGGUGAUGAAAUAGCUGUUGUCAAAAUAUAGUAAACCAUUAGAGGUUGAUGUUAAAUCCAAAGGGAACAUGUGGUUUGCAGAUCUCAGCAGUUGUAGUCAACGGGCAAAACAAGAAAAGUAAAUGAGGGGUUUAAUAUAGUAAACUCGAUUAUAAUUAGUGUAGGUGAAAACAAAGAUUGUGUUCCCCCUGCCUUCUCAAAUCUGAGGCUUAUCCUGCGUUGUUGUACCAACCCAAUAAAUUGCAUCCAGAAUUGAUAUACCAACCCAAUCAAUCUGUUUCGUUUUCUGAAAUUUCAUAUAUACUAUCCUCACUUUCUAAUUCAUAAUCUAUAUAAUCUAUCUGCAUAUAUUCUAUAUUAUCUAUUUUUAUUUCUGAUAUUUGUUUAUUUUUUGAAUUUUUAGGUAAUUUACAAUCUCUAGCUAAAUGGCGUAUCUUUCCACAAUUAUAACAAGUACAUUCUUUUAUAGACUUCUUCUUUCUAUAUGGUCUUUUGUAUUUAUAAUUUUUUAUAUAAUAUCUUUUUCUCGGUUUCUUAUAUUUAUAUUUUGAUUUUUUAUAUUUCUUAUAUUUCUUAUGUCUUUUUCUUUUCUUAUAAUAUCUUUCUUCACAUCCAAAUUGGGGUGCUAUUUUAUUUUUGCAACAUGCUAAAUUCUUUAUUAAUGUUUUUUCCAUUUUUAAUUCUUCUCUAUAUUUUUCACAUAAGUUUCUAUACCAUUGUUGUAAAAAUUUUAUUCUUGCUCCUAACGUAUCUACUAUUUUUGCUUCUUCCCAACUUUUUAUUAUCUUUAAACUAAAUGGUUCGGGUAAUUUAUUAAAAUAUAAUUUUCUUAUCUCUUUACUUUCUUCUAUACUAUAUGCUCCUUUAUAAUAAUAUUCUUUAAAUGCGCAAGUAUAUUCAUCUAUAUAACACAUAUUACAUAUUGCUAAUUUUAACAUUAAAUUUCUAUUUGUAUCUUUUUCUUCAUCUUGUUCUUCUUCUAUUGUUGUCAUACUACCAAAUUCAUCUUUUAUAGCUGUUUCAUAUUUUUUUAAUAAUUCUAUAGGUGUUAGUUUAGUUGUUGUCGAUGAUGUUCCUUCUAUAGGUUUAUUAGUUCUUAAUACUUUUUUGCUAUUUUCGGUUAGAUUUGCAAACCAUAGUUUUACUGAUCCUAUUAGUGUUUUUUCUAUAUAUUCCGGUGCAUCUGUUAUAUUUAUAUUAUUAUCUAAUAAUUGUUUUGUCAUAUAUCCUAUCCAUAAUUGUAUUGUUUUUUCUGUAUCUAUUACACAGUCUAGAUCUAAAAAGUUAUAAUUUUUAUUCACUAUUUGUUUUGGUAUCCAUUUAUCAUAUUCAUUAUAUUUUUUAAACUUAUUCUUAUAAUAUAUAGGUUUUCUUAUUUCUGUUGUUUUAGGUAUUAUAUUUUCAUUUUCUUUUUUAUCAAGAGUAUUUAUUUCUGUGUGGGUAUUUUCUAAGUUUUCCUCAUUAAUUUUUUGUUCUUCAUUGAUUUCUAAAUUUUUUGUAUUUGUUAAUAUUUCUGUGUAUGUUUCACUAUCUUCGGACUCAUAAUUAUCUGUCUCUUCAAUAUCUAUAUUAUUUAUUUCUAAUUCUUCAUUUUUUAUUUCUAAUUUUUCCUUAAAUUGAUUUAUCUCAUUUAGUAAUUUCUGUUCUCUAUCUUUUUCUUCUUUUUCUUUUUGUCUUUGUUCAUACAGUUCUUUUAACAUUUGUAAUUCUUUUUCUAAUUCAGCAAUUCUACUAUUUUUGGUUUCUUCUAUUUUUCGUAUUUCUUCCGUAGUUUGUUGUUUUAUUUUUUCUAUUUCUUUUUUCCUAUCUAUCUCUUCAUUUUCUUUUUCUAUUCUUACCAUUGCUGUUAAUUUAUCUUCUAAUUUUAAUUCUUCUUUUUCUAACAUUAGAUAUAAAUGUUCACCUAUUUUCUUAUAUCUUCGUCCUAGAUUAGAAAAUACUAUUUUUAUUUUUGAUCCUUCGUAGUUUUCAUAUAUUUUUUCAUCUAUUAUAAAUUCUUCUUUAUUCAUUUUAUUGUGAAUAGGUCAUGUUGAUAUACAUAUUCUAAACUAUCUAUUUGUGAUUCUAAUUUUGAUAUUUCAUCUUUUUGUGUAUCUAUUGAAUUUUUACUAACUCCGGCAAAUAUAUUAUAAUGUAGUCUUUCUAUUCUUAUUUUUAAUUCUUUACGUUUUUCAGAGAUAAUUUGUCUUAAUUCUUUAUAUUGUUGUAUUUUAUUCAUUUUAAAUUAUAUUUAUAAUAUCUCGGUGGAUAUCUAAAUCUAAUUUUAUCAUAAUUAGGUGGUAUAUGUUUCAUUCUUCUAGAUUUUAAAUGUGUUAUUAAUUUUGAUUCAAUACUUUUCUAAUAUGAUUUUUCUUAUAUCUACUACUUUUAUAUCUUUAAGUGCAUACAAAAUAAGUAUUUUAAAUCUAUCUACCAUCACAUUAGAUAAAUAAUUAUUCAUUUUCAUAACUUUGCUAUUUUUCAAAAUAUUCCCUUCAACCAUGUACAUAACAAAAUAUGGUCAUCUUAGAUUACUAUAUACUAGAUUAUUUUUAAAUAACAUGUUCUUCGGUCACUAUUAGCAUGGUAAUUUGGAUACUUUUUUCCUUAAACAAUGCCUCUACUCUGGUUACUCCCCGCCACGGCUUCUUGCCUCAUUGGUUUCACCUUUAGGAUGGCAUAGUUCUUAGGGAUUUUUCUCCAUUUCCACUUUGCUAAUAAACUUCGUAACAUAUUAUUCUUUGAAUAAUUCUACUAUAAACCCAAGAUAGAAUCCAAAGGAUUGACACUGGACAACAUACGAUUCAACUAUACCACUAGUACCCUAUACUCAUGACUCAUAGUGAGUCACUCAUACUCAUAGCCAAGUCAAGUUACUAAAUUUUUGAUUUUAUAAAGGAUCGUCCUAAUGACCUAUCACCACCCUUACAACCCGUACCACCAAGUCGUAACCACAACCCAACCACUAUCUACUGGACUCCUAAUGAUUUGGGUCACCUGACCUAUACCAACACCAUACGACUUAUAUGGUGAGUCAUUAAUAGGACAAUGAUAUCAAAGCUCAGGAAAUUUCCAAGGUUCAAAACCAAAGGUGUUUCAUUACUCUAUUUGAUCACACCUAUUUUUACUUUCAUCCUAUAAUUCUACAAAAAUUUAGCCAAGAGAGGCCACCUAUUAGGAACUUCCUUUAACCAUGGAUAUCUACAAGGGUCAGAUGGUGUAAAUUUUCAUCAAUCUCAUAAAUGUCCCUAUGCAUUGAUAUGUAACCUCCAUGAUUUAUAUUAUUUCUCCUUCUCUAUAGUAGCCAACAUAACAAACAUGGAAUAGCUUGAGCAAUAGGCUUAAUUAUGUCUUCAAAAUUUGUACUCCACCAUUUUGACAUAGCUUGGUGACAUUAUAUAAAUAUCCCUUCGACCCCUACACUCACGACAUAGUAGUUCUAUACCUUAGAAGAAAAUUGCUGGAAAUAAAUAAGUGGUGAAACAUUUCUAGAUAUGGUGGUACACAACACCUACAUCUAGAAACCAAAUUGAUACAAUAUCUUUGCAAGAUUUCAUCUAUAGGAACUUUAAAUUUCCAUAACCUCUAUAGAAAUAAAUUCAACUUGUCUACUACCCCUUUACUUCAUAUGUUCUCCCACUGACCCUUUAUUUCCUUCCUAUGUCUAAACAACUGAUAAGCAUUAGAUAUUGUAUAAUUCCCAUUUGUUAUUGGCAUCCACCAGGGAAAGUCCUAUGGUGAUGCAUUCUGACUGAUAUUAUAUUAUCCUUAAUGUGCUGAGUAAUGUCAGAGGGUAACACUCUCUCUAGCUUAUGUCUAUCGUAGCUGUAUCGUGUCAUUGAAUUAUCAAUACUACCUUCUUCUUCAUUGAUAGAAGAAUCCUUGGCCAAUAAUCAAAACAUAUAUUAGAUUAACCCAUAAUUGGUUCCCAUCGGAUUUCCUGUUCAAUUUCAUCCCUUGUCUCUAACAUUUUCUUCCAUACUUGAAAACCACCUUUCCACUACAUUACUAUUGGGAUAAGUUUCUUAUAUUACUUAUUCCAUAUAUAGUCAGUCCACAAAGACCUAAUGGUUCUAAAAAUCCCCCAUAGUUUAGAAAACAUGGCCUUAGAUAUGUCAAUGAGGCUUCUGAAUCCCACACCUCCUUCUUCUCUUGGGAGACACAUCUUUUCCUAUGCAAACCUAUGCUUAUUUUUACCUUACACUUUAGUGCUCCAUAACAUUCCACAAAAAAUAUUUUCAAGUUCAUAUAUAAUGAACUUAGGAGGCAACACAACUAAUAAUAAAUACAAAGGUAUGCUCUGCAGUACACUAGCGAUUAAAAAACUUUUGCCCCCAAAUAAAGCAAUUUACCUUUCCAGUUUUGAAGCUUAUUUUUCACCUUCUUGAUGAGAGCAUUAUAGUACUCUUUUAUUUUCCUAGCAUGGGUUACUGGACACCCUAAAUAUUGAAAAGAAAACUGUCCCUGAGUAAAACUAAUUAUGCCUUUCACUUCAAUCAUUGAAGAGACUGCCACUUUUUUAUACAUGUAAAAAGAAAUUUUACUUUUAUUUAUAAGCUGCUCAGGUCUUUCCUGAUACUAUUUGAUACUAUUUUAUCUAUAGAGGUAGAGAUUAUUUUAUCAUCUAUAUAUGCAAGAUGAUUUAGGUUCCUACUCUAUUUAGGCAACCCAUAACCUUUAUCCAUCCAUCUUCAAAUAGGGUAUUUAGGGACCUUGACAACAUUCGAAUGUUAGAAUAAAUAUAGAAGGUGAAAGGAAUUACCUUUUUUAAAGCCUUUAGUUGAAUGAAAAAACCCUUGUGACUGACCGUUAAUGAUGAUAGAGUACCAAUUAUUAGCGACUAACCUCCAAAUCUUUUCUAUGAAGGUUUCUGCAAAACCUAUUUUCCUCAUCACCUUAAUGAAGUACAACUAAGACAACCUAUCAUAUGCCGUAGACAUAUCCAAUUUCAUGAACUCAUUAGUUAGUUGCCUCUCAUCCUGAUAUCAGAUACCAUUUGCUGGGCUAAGAGAACAUUCUCAAUAAUGCUCCCUCCCAUAACUAGCCCUGACUGAUUAUUAGAGAUUUGUUUUUGAUGUAACUUUAAGUUGUAAUCUCUUUUUUCUUCCUUUUACAAGACUAUGAAAAAAUCUUGUAUUUAUAUACCCCUUCAAAAAACUAGGUUAUACCAGCUUUCUAUCUUUAGAAUUGUUCUUCCAGGUGAAGAUACCUUUUAACCUCUACUUGAGCCUAUUGUAAAACACUUACUAUUUUUUAAGUUGGAUGUUCUUCAAAAAUCUUCUCUUUAAUCUACAUAAUCUCUUCUCUGAUAUCUAGCUAUUGAAAAAUGUCACCAUAACUAUUUCUAUUUCAUUUACUCAAAGUUUUUUUUCAUAUUUUUCAUCUUAUGUUUGAAGAUCCAAAAACUGUUUCUUUCUUUCUCCGUCCUCUAAUGUUGUCUUACUACUUAUUUAAAAGUGAUAUAUUCCACCCAAAUUUCUAGGAAUUUAAAAUGUUUAACAAUUGUUGUGACCCUUUUUGCAUUAUAAGAAAAAGAGGAGUCUGAUCUAACCUAGUAAGAGGUAAGUGUACUAUUCCACCUCCAAUCUAGAAAACCAAUUUUAAAAAUAUGCAUUAGAGAAGAUUUUGUAUAAUCUUUCAAAGUACAAUCACUUCUUGCUUUGCCAUUCCCCCAAGUGAAGGGGCUCUCUUUAAAAGGUAUUUCUUCAAGUUCACAAGAAUUCACACAAAAGGCAUAAUCCUCCACCUCUUGUAGAGUCACUGGAAGACCCCGAAUUGUUAUUCUUUAUUCAAUACAGUAUUAUCAUGACCCAAACCAGGGCAAUGUGACGGGUAUCUUAAGUCUUCCAAGGACCGAAGACCACCCCUUACUUUCUAGUCAAUAGAACACAAUACAGUUAGCAGCAAGUGAAUGCCAAAAAUAAAACAAGAUAGGUAACUCAACUAAAUCAGUAAGGAACAAAAGAAUUUCAGCAACCAUCCCAGUCCAUAGUAAUCCACAAAGCCUCUAAUAACCAAAGACCACCUAUGUUGGGAAAUGCCCACGACCAUAGCCAAAAUAUGACCAAAAGGAAACCAAAGAAAUAGUAUAGGAUAUAGACUAAACCAAAAAGUGACAGGACUUUCGGAAGAGGGAGACUUCUCACUUAAAGUUGACUAAUGAAUGAUCAAAGAAUCACCUAUCACUGUAAAGGAAAAGCAGAAGUGUCUUCGAUUCCUGCAUCAUGUGGGGAUACAACAUUUAGAGACAGUUAGUGGGGUGAGUACUAGCAUGUAACUUAGAUAGUGAUAAAAUAAUGCCAAUUCAAAAGCAAGUCCAAACUCAAUGUACAUGUUCACAUACAUGCAGACAUAAUAUAUAUAUACAUAUAUCUGAGAGUUUGAGAUUAUGAACAAGGUUUAGCAUGAGAUUUAAAACAUUAGCCAGGGCUGCGUAGCUUAAUCAUCGUAAAAACACCCACGGGCUAUAUGGGUCUAGCCACUUUUGCUGGAUAGGUCCCAGUGCAUGUUAGCCUCACAAAUUAGAGAUAUCAUAGAGGUCGAAGAAUCUGUGACCCUUUGCCAUCCAUGAUACAAAUAUAUGUAUAGUGUGACACAAGCACACAUUCAUCAAUACCAACCCUCAUGUUGGCAAAAGUGAGUUUCCAGUAUCCUUCCAUCGAGACCUCUACUUUCAUGGCUUAGAUACAUAACCUUCUUUAAGCACAAUUAAAACAUGUACACAUUUCCAUUAAUUGAACCAUGAUUAUCCAUUAAGUCACACACUAUUUGUAUCGUCAUACAACCUACACUUGCAAGGUAAUAACAUUAUACUAUUUCAAUUAUUAUAAGUAAGGGAAUCCACAACCAUAAAAGCUCCAAUCAUCAUAUGGGGAAAUCCAUGACCGUUGAGUUUUAAUUUAAAACCAUUAUGUUUCAAUAGACUUUUAUAUCUUGCAAUUGUUCCAAAAGUAUUUCAAUGUUCAUUCCUUUAUGUUCAAAGCAAGUUUCACAAGAUUGGGUUGAGGUUAAACUAAUUAUAAUUGUCGUGCCUCAAAUCCUACUAGGGUAGACAAACAUCCGUAGUCGUGAAGGCCCGAGAGAACCAAUCCAUAACCUUUUAAUUCUCAUGUAUAUAAUUAUAAUAACCAAAGGUUUUGUCAUUCUUGGAUAUAAUACAAUGAUGAGAAAUAAACAACAAGCCCAAAACUAUAUAUAUCAGACUUGGUCGUUGGGGCCAUAAUAUCAAAGGGAUAAGACACUAUCAUGAUUAACUUUACAUUGGUCUACAAAAGCCUCUAAAAGAUAAAUAUACACUUAUUUAAGGUCAAGAAAACCCCCCACCUUACUCUUAACUACUGUACAAUACCAAAAAAUAUAAAAUAGACUCGAAAAGCCUCGAAUCAACCUGGAGCUCACCAAUAGCCACUGGAUAUCCUAAGCUCCUACUGAGAAGGUGUAUUAGCUAAAACACCUAUGCCUGUAGCAUGAAAUAAUGGUCCCCCAUAAGGGGCGUCAAUACGAAAAUAUUUACUGAAUAUAUAAGGAUGAAAGUAACCACAUAUGAUAUAGGAGCUCAAUGGAAAUAAGAUAUAAGUGCACAAAUAGUGCUAGUGGACCACCUUUAUAUACACUUAUAGGGUCAGGUACAUUAAAUUAUUUUAUUCAUUUUACCUUUCUUACUUCAUAAUCUUUGAAAGCCAUACGAUAUAAAUGACCAACUGAUCAAUGGUAAAUAGAUAAAUCAGGAUUGGCCCAUGCAAGCCUUAUGCCCUUGAGCUUCCAUGUAUAUAUAAACAUUGGGGUCGACCCAUGCUAGACUUACGCCCCUGAGCUACCACCCAUAGAAUAAAGGUAUCAAAAUCAGCCCAUGCUAGGCUCACUUCUUUGAGCUUCCACCUAGUCAAUUCAAAUUGUGUUACUUAGUUUAGUUAGCCUUUGAGAUUGUUACUUUGGUGGUCAUAACAUUAUGGUACCUUAGAACAAUAAUCUACCAGUAAGAGACAUGUAAAUGGGCACUUAAUGAAACAAAAAUAAAGUGGAGAGUUGUUGGCACACAAAUGAAAUAUUUAGGAGAUGGAAAUAACACAUAGGUCUUAUUUGACUAAACAGAGUACUCCUAAAAUUUUUUAAUGAAUAUAGACAUACAGGCUUAAUAAUAAGAAUAUAUUGAGGUAUUUUAACAUGUUAUAGGGUGGGAAUAAGGUCAUUAGCUACAUGUUAUAUCAUACACUACUAUUAUGUAUCACUUGCUUUAGGAUACCUUUGGAAGCUUACUUGAUGGGACAAGUGUCUAAUUUCAUGCAAAAGAGUGCAAAAUAGAGUAUGCCUUACAUAUCAGGUUGUAUAACUCCGAAACUAACCCAACUUGACUUCCCUUCUUUUAGAUUACUUAUCUAUGAUAAAAUAUAAGGUAAAUUAAUAUUAGCAACCAACCAACAUAUUUGGGCUACUUAACUUCACCAAAAUAGUAAUCGGGAAGUAGGCCCUUAAUUUAUCAAUCAAGGGUGUUAUUUUAACCCUUUUCUCCUCCAAUUACAUCCACAUACCAUGCAAAUUCUUAUAAGAUCCCCCAAAACAACUUUGGCUUCAUUACACCCUCUAAAUAAACAAAAUAGAAUAGGCAAUAAAUGUAUACAACAAUUAGCUCAGUGGUGUACCACCCUACCCUUCUUCAAUAUUUUAAAACAAACUAAUUAUACCUUUCCCCAACAUCAACCUGGUAUCCCCCAACAUACCCACAUAAAACAGUCCAUAAAAUAGACCCAAAUUUACCUUUAUCAUAACAACCAAAUAUUGAACUCAUCAUCCGUUGAGUUCUCAAUAACAACACAUCCAUAAUUCUUUCCUAAAUUAAUAUAUAAGGAGGACAAAAUGGAGCAGUCACCUCACCUUAAUUUUAUACAAUUUAUACUUUUAGCUUAAACUCUUUAAGAACUUAAAUUUCUCUUCAUACUUUAAACCAAAAAAAAGAAAAGAAAAGUCUCUUAAUAACAAAGCCAUAUAUUAAUAAUUUAAAACUUAUAGAAUUUCUUCCUAAUCUUCCUUGGGAAAACUAAGCUUAACCUUAAGUUUUUUCGCUUACUUUGGAUUGCAAAGGUUGGAGUUUCAUCAAGAACAUUAGAAAGAAAAAUAGGAAUUCUCCGUGUUGUUUUAGAGAGUAGAGAGAAUUUAUGAAAUAUAAUCCUUUUUGUGACUUAGAAAUAAACAAAAAUGACCAGCAACUUGUCCUUAUAAAGGCCCUAUUUCGGCCACCUAUUUAGCUGCAUUUUGAACCUCAAAAUUGGUCAAAUUGGUCCAAGUAGGUGAUGCACCUACUUAAGGAGUUCAAGCUUCUAAAAAGAUCAAAGUACGUGAUGCACCAAUUUGAGUGUUGGGUCAUUUCUCUAUUUUCUUCCCCUUUUUACUUAAUUUGGGCCCAAAUGAGUCUACUAAUAAAGGCCCAAAUCUGAUCCAUAGACUUGGUCCAUUAACUUAGCUCAUGAAACUCAUCUAGGUGACUCCCCCACUAACUUAAUUAAGUCAAGCAAACACCACAACCAAUUAAUCCAUUUUUCAUCCCCUAAUCCUUUUAAUCUAACUUAAAACUUAUAUGCAUUUGGUCACUUUAAACUUUAGACUCAAUACUGGCUAAUGAUUUCAAUCUAAAUAGUUAUAUCGAUGCUAACUUGGUCGAAUCGCAUUAAAACUUAUGGGAAAUAUUUAGAACCCCAUGUACUCCAUCCAUACUAAUAUAACAAAUCUCAUUCAUUAUCUAUACCAUAAGGCUAUAUCAAGCUCCAUAUAAGUAGAACAUGCACAUACAAAAUACAAGGUAUUACAUCCUCCUCCUCCCCUUUAGGAACAUUCAUUCUUGAAUGUUAGCAUAACUGUCGAACUUAAACAAGUUCAAGCCUAAGGUUAAUAUUCCAUUAUCACACUGUACUUAUAUAUUACACUUACUUGUUAUUGUUCCAAUUCAGCAUCUUGGACUCUUUCUUUGUAUCCGAAUAAAUAGGGGUACAUGGAUUUCAUCACUUCUUCUCCUUCCCAUAUGAUCUCUUCUACUUGUUGGUUUCUUCAAAGUACUUUUAUAGAAGCUAUUUCUUUAUUCCUUAAAUUCUUAACUUGUCAAUCAAAAAUUGCAAUAGGUAUUUAUUCAUAAGUGAGAUGUUUUAUAAUUUGUACAUCUUUGGUAGGAGUAAUAUGAGUUAGAUCCCUGAUGCACUUUUAAAGUAUUGAGAUGUGAAACACUAGAUGGAAUGUUGUGAGAUCUUGGGGUAGAUCUAAAUCAUAGGUGACUAGGCCAAACUGUAAGAACCCGCAAAGUUCCCUUGUAGUUUGAGCCUUAAGUGUGUCUAGUGAAGUAUAAUUUUGGCCCUAAAAGAUUAAGAAGAGACUUCCCAAGUUAUUAGUGUUUUAAUAUUAUUGAAUUUUUCCUGAAAAUGGCUUCUUAUGGUGUAGAGAAUUGAAUUAGCUUUCCAAUGAUACCAAUUUCGUCCAAAUCCGAUAUCGGGGUGAGAAGUUAUGGCCCUUUUACUAAAGGUUGUCAAAACUGCCUAGGUGCGACGGACAAUCCAACGGACGGUCGAGUCUGUGAUGGAACAUAUCUUGGACCAAAACUACCACUAUUUUGUUUAAGAUUUCUCUUCUUUUACAUCUUUUAUGACCCGGUUGACCCAAAAGAAUGUUAAGUUCCAGUGGUCAAAUUCCUAUUAGAAGAGUUUUUAGGAGUUGAUGGUUAGACUUACUUAAGACCCUGUGUUGACUUUGCCUGAUGAUAUAGAUGGUUUUGUGGUGUAUUGUGAUGCCUCUAGAGUUGGUUUGUGUUGUGUGUUGAUGAAAAAAGGUAAGGUUAUAUACUAUGCCUCUAGAAAGUUGAAGUCGUAUGAAAAGAAUUACCUAAUCCAUGAUCUUGAGUUAGCUGAUAUAGUCUUUGCUUUGAAAAUCUGGAGACACUAUCUUUAUGGUGUUCAUGUUGAUGUGUUUACUGAUCAUAAGAGCCUGCAGUAUGUGUUUACUCAGAGUGAGUUGAAUCUUAUGCAGAGGAGGUGGUUAUAGUUGUUAAAAGACUAUGAUAUGAGUGUGUUGUAUCACUCGAGGAAGGACAAUAUAGUGGCGGAUGCACUUAGCAGAUUGUCUAUGGGUAGUGUUGCUCAUGUAGAUAAAGGUUAGAAAGAGUUAGCUCAUGAUGUGCAUCAUCUGGCUAGAUUGGGUGUUAGGUUGCUUGAUUUAGCUGAGGGAAGUACUUUGGUGCAAAGUAUUUUUGAAUCCUUUUUAGUUUCAAAAGUGAAAGAGAAACAAGAUAGAGAUCCUAGUUUUGUCAGACUGAAGGAGGCAGUUAAGGACCAAAAGGUAGAGGUUUUCUCCCAAGGGGGAGAUGGCAUAUUGAGAUUGCAAGGUAGAUUAUGCAUUCCAUGUGUUGGUUAUUUGAGGUAGAGGAUUAUGGCUGAAGCACAUGGCAUGUGGUAUUCUAUUCAUCCCGGCACUACCAAGAUGUACCACGACUUACGGGAAAUCUAUUGGUGGAAUGGUAUGAAGAAGGAUAUAGCUUAGUUUGAAGCAAAGUGUGCAAUAUGGAAACAUGAUAGGUAGAUCACCAAAGACCUGGUUGUGUGAUACAAGAUUUUGGUAUACCCACUUGGAAGUUGAAGGUGGUGAAUAUGGACUUUAUGACCGGGUUACCCCUUUCGCAUUGUCAUCAUGUUUCUAUUUGUGUUGUUGUAGACAGGCUGACUAAGUCCACACACUUCUUGCCCAUGCAUACAUCUUAUACAGCUGAGGAUUAUGCUAGAUUGUAUAUCUGAGAGUUAGUCAGGCUGCACAGAGUUCCCUCAUCUAUCAUUUUGGAUAGGGGUACUCAAUUUACUUUUCUAUUUUGUAGGGAGUUUCAGCAGGGUCUUGGUACCCAAGUUCUUUUGAGUUUUACUUUUCAUCCGCAGACAGAUGAACAGGCUGAUAAGACCAUUCAGACCCUAGAAGACAUGUUAAGGGCAUGUGCUUUUGAUUUCAAAGGAAGUUAAGAUGAGCAUUUGCCAUGAAUAGAGUUUGCCUAUAACAAUAGGUACCAUGCUACCAUUGAUAUGGCACCAUUUGAGGGCUUGUAUGAUAGAAGAUAUAGAUCACCCAUAGGUUGGUUUGAAGUGUGUGAAGCUGCCGUGAUUGGGCCUGAUGUAGUAUUUGGAUCUAUAGAGAAAGUUAAGUUGACUAGAGAGAGGUUACAAAUAGCUUAGAUUUGUCACAAGUCAUAUGCUGAUGUGAGAAGAAGAGACCUUGAGUUUGAAGUGACUGAAUUGGUGCACUUGAAGAUUCCCCCUAUGAAAGGGGUGAAGAGGUUUUGUUAAAAGGGAAAGCUUAGUCCCCUUAUGUUGGCCCGUAUAGAAUUUUGAGUCGUGUUGGGAAAAUAGCCUAUGAGGUUGUGUUUCCUGCAGAGUUGACAACCGUUUAUCCUAUUUUUUAUGUCUCUAUGUUUAAGAAGCAUAUUCGUGAUUCCGUUGUGGUAGAUCCUUCAGAGAGUGCUAAUAUUCAGAAUAGUCUUUCAUUCGAUGAGAUUCCCGUUGAGAUCCUAUAUUUUUAGAUCCGUAGACUGAGGAACAAAGAGGCUCCCUUGGUCAAAGUGUUGUGGCGGAACCAGUUAGUUGAGGGCACUACUUGGGAGGCAGAAUAAGACAUGCGAGCCAAGUACCCGCACCUCUUUUCUGCAAGUUCAGAUCAAUUCGAAGGUAUUAUUCUUCCUUAAUUCAUCCUUUCUAAUCUAAAGUUCAGCUAUAUAUCUAUUCUUGCAUGAGUUCUUGCAAUUUUUGAGGUAUUCAAGAGUUUAGAAAGAUUUUGAUCCCAUUUAGGCAAUUGCUUCAGCUAUGUGAACUAUGUUUUUGUGUGUUCCUAGUCUAACAAGCAACAUUUGAGGAUGAAUGUUUCCAAGGGGGAGAUAUUAUAAGACCCCGCAAAGUUUUCUUGUAGUUUGAGCCUUGAGCAUGUCAAGUAAAGUGUAAUUCUAGCCCUAAAAGAUUGAUAAGAUACUUCCCAAGCGAUUAUUGUUUUAAUCUUGUUGAAGUUUUCCUAAAAAUGACUUCCUAUAGUGUAGAGAAUUGAAUUAGCUUUCCAACGAUACCAAUUUUGUCCAAAUCCGGCAUCGGGGUGAGAAGUUAUGGCCGUUUUACUGAGAGUUGUUAGAACUACCUAGGUGCGACGGACGAUCUGACGGAUCAUCGAGUCUGCGAUGGGCCAUCGCUCAGCCUGUCACAACCAAGGUAGUAACUCUCUUUUCUUUCCCAAGUGUGACAGCAAGGAUGACGAACCGUCAAGAGUCCGAUAGACCGUCGCUGAGACCGUUUCCACUGAGACAGUAUGGUCUUAUCCUAGCCAAUAUGCGACGGAUAAUCCCAAGGACCGUCAAGACUGUGAAGGACCAUCGCUUUGACCAUCACAUUGAGGUAGUGUGUUUUUUUCCGACCAACGUUUGACGGGCGAUCUAACGGACCAUCAGACUAGCGACAGACCGUUGCUUGGACCAUCGCAGGCCCCGUUUAGUAUUUUUAACUCAUUUUUAAAAAGGAGUUUUAGUAUUUUCCACUCUUUUAUCAACCAAAUAUAUUCCAAGCGAAGAAAAUGACUUCAUUCAUCAUCUAAAACACAAGAGAGCUAGGGUUUGUCCCUCAAGAUCAAAUCUAAAACCAUUCUUCAAGAAAUCCAAGAACUCACCAUAGAAUCUACAAAUUGAUUUGAGAUUUAAGUUCCCCAAGUUCAAGGGUUGCAAGAACCCUCUCUCAAGAGUAAGAAGAAGAGUUUGAAUCAAUCUUGUUCAUCCAAUUUCAUAAUCUAAGGUAUGUGGGGUUUUGAACAUGGGUAAUCCUUUCACCCUUGUGCCCAAAGGCAUAUUUAAAGUAUAAUUUUCUGCAAUUUAUGAGAUUUUACAUAAUAUUGAAUUGGUGUUUUUCACCCAUUUUUAUUGGUUGCAAGAUUUUGAUAUUUUCCAUGAAUUGAGAGUCUAAUGGCAUGAUUUUUACAUGUUUUCUUGAGAAAUUGCAGCUGGGUCUAUACCCCAUGAUUUUAAUUCUUGAGAAGUUAUAGUUCAAAUGUUUGAGAUAUUGAAGUAUAUGAGUAUGUUGAGAUUAUUAGCUAAAUUGCUGUAAAUUCUAGAUUUCUAUAUGAUUUAUAAAUCCAUAUGCUAUCUAUUAUGCAUUAUGAUGAGUUUUAACUUGAGAUUGAAUUAUGGGUAAUGAAGCCCUACUUGAGACUUGCAAUACUAUGAACUAUUGUGCAAUAAUCACCCAUGAUUUAUGUAUUUUAAGAUUAUUGAGAAAUGUUUUGACCUAAUGGUCAUAGUGUUUUGAAAUCCACUCUACCACAUAAGAUUAAAAAUUUGAUUAUUGGGUACUUAUGAACCAUAAUAUUAUUUUGAAAGUGGAUUUUCAUUAGAUGAGUAAGAUAAACUAAAGUGAGUAGUAUUUAGCACCGAGUUAGGUAAGUUACUACGGUUUCUUACCUCAGAACUAUGUGCCACCGUGGGUUUGAGAUUUUGGGAUUGAGGCCGAGAUAAUUAGGCUCGAGGCCGAGAUAAGUGUUCACUGAGUUAAGGUUAUACUUCUUGGCAAGAGUAUGACGCAUCUCCCAAAUGUGAGGUUUCUUCCUUAGGAGGAAAAGACGUUGGACUCCAUGUAGCUCACAUUGCUUAUGUCAGUUAUAAGAAUCUCCCUAAAAUAAAUUAUUUUCCAUUGAGAUAAAAUAUUUUUCCUAAAGCUUUAAGAUGAAAUAUUUUCUAAAGUUAACGAAUUACUUUAGAGUAUUUUCCAAAGAAGGAAGUAGUUUUAUCUACUAAUAAGAGUUAAUCAUCAGUUUUUAAACCAAAUUCAUAUGAUUCUGAGUUCCAAGUUUUUGAGUUCAAAAGAGUUAUAAGUUCUUAAGCAUUAAAGAAGUUUUACUCUCCAUGAAAUAUAUGCAUUAGUUGAAAGUAUUGUUUAAAGGAUCCUUCAUCCUAUGAGUAAUGAGAAUAAGAGGAGAUCACAGAUUUUAAAGACAAUAUGUAAUGACUCAAGAGAUCUGUGUUACAUGCUUUAUCCUAUAUGAUUUAUGAGUUUUACAUUUUAGACUUAUUCAAGACAUAUGAGUCAUUCCUAUUUCAUACAUUAUUUGAUUAAAAAGUAUUGAUAUUGUUUUAAGUAAAUACAUACACCCCCAUAUAUUCAGUAGAAUCCCAAGUGUUGAUCCACAUACACGUCUAAGUGCUACAUUGUCUUAUAAUGUAGGUUCAGGUGCUUAUUCCCAGCCUCAUCAAUGAUUCCUGAGUACCUUUGUCUAUAUUUUUCCAGUGGUGAGUCCUUAUGGUUCGAGGGCCUAUCUUUAGAUAUUUCAGUAUUUGAAUGUUUACGUUAUUACUUUUAGUUCAAUUUGAGUCAGUUGGGGACCUGUCCUAAUGGCUCUCGAGUUCAUAGAGUAGUAGAGGCUUUGUCAGACUAGUUAUCAGAUUGUGGUUGCAUUGAGAUUUGUAGUAUUGUGGUUGUUUGGACUGAGUAUUAUCUUCGUAUUUUAUUUCAUUUGAUAUGACAGUGCUAGUGUUUUAUAUAUUCCUUCUUGAAUGAGUUAUUAUGAGAAGUGAUAGGCUCAAAGGGUUAACUUGGGGAAACUUAUAGUCUGAGGCACCGUGUGACAUCUCGGGAGGUGAUUUUGGGUCAUUACACAAGCCUUCAAAUAAUCAAAUAUGGGCCGAUAUAAUGUGGAUGUAGUUUCCCUUUCUUACCAAAUCUCAUUACUCCUUUCAUUGGUGACACCUUCAGGAAUACCCAAUCACCAAUAACAAACUCUAGGCCCCUUUCUUCUGAUAUCCACAUAUGACUUGUGUCAACUUUGGGCUGCUUGUAGACACCGUUGGAUCAUCUUAACCUUUUCUAUAGCUUGAUGAACAAGAUCUGGCCCAAAUAAAGUUACCCAUAUGGAAUCAAACUUUCGAGAUGUAGGUGGCAAAUCAGCAAUGAAAUCCAUGUUGAUCAUGUCCCACUUGCAUAGUGUUCAUGUUUAGAUGUACCAUAUAUGGCUUGUUCAUGUUGAUCAUAUACCUUAUUCCAUCCAGAUCUUGUCUAUCAAGUUAUGGAAAAUGUUAAGGUGAUCCAACGACGUCUAGAAAUAGCCUAAAGUCGACACAGGUCAUAUAAAGAUAUCAGAAGAAGUGGGCUAUGGAAAAGGUUAAGGUGAUCCAAUGGCAUCUAGAAGCAUCCCAAAGUCGACACAAGUCAUAUGCAGAUUUAUCUUGGGUAUAUUUAUACGCCUAAGUUUGGAGAACAAAGUGCCUAGUUUAUUAUGUUUUUACCCUACAUCUAUGUGAUUGAGCUAACUGAUGUUAUUUACAAGAUUUCAGGUAUUAAUAAGGUAGAUGGACACAUAAUGGGACUAUGGAAUGCGGAUGGCAUAUGACAUAAGAGAGAGUAGCAUUUUGGAUCAAAUAUGGCGCCUAGAAACUAUGUUCAAGACUAAUUUUUAAUUUAUAAUUAGUUUAGGGACUUAGAAGGCAAUUAUGAGAGAAGAGAUUGUUAAAAAGACUUGAUGCUGAAAAUUUAUGAGAAUUCAUUAUUCUGUAUUAUUCUUGAUUGGAGAGUGGCAGCUUAGCACUGAGUGGAAAAACACACAACUUCAUCUUCUUCACCAAGGUUGUGUUCACUUUUUGGAAUGAUGAAUAUUUCUAUUGUGAUUCCCGUUUUAUUAAUGAGUAGCUAAGUUUAUUAGUUAGGUUUAUGGAAGCCUUGUAGCAU